AUGUCUACCGGAACCGUGCCGGGUGGGCAGCCGCUUACCUACACCAUCGACAAGGAUGAGGUGGACCGAAUCCGUGAUAAGCUCAAUGCACAGGAUGGGGAAAUAAAGGGUUUGAAGGAACGCGGAAUCCGUCUUCCGGCCAUGGCGUUGCCAACCAAGUUUACUGGAGAAGCUUCUAAGGUUCAUGUUUUCCGUCGCCAAUGUCAAGCUUAUCUAGAGGCCCGUGCUGCCGAGUUUCCCCAAGAAGACAUCAAGGUGGCGUGGAUUUACAGUCUCCUAGACGGGCCAGCGGCCAACUGGGCGACGGAAAACAUGAACCUUGGAAACCUCUCCAGAAAACUUGGUGGGCAACGCCAGGGCAGGGAGACGGGCUCCACGUUCCUUCAAGCCCCGUAUUUCUCCCUCCUGCGCAUGGAACAUAUCACGGAUCCUGUCCACUUCAUCCUUGGCGAUGGUGUAGCUGAGUGGUUGGUCACCCGGUCCGGCUCCGGUAGACAUUCUGGCCUAGGUUAAAUGGUGCUUAGGGUGGCGGAGUCAAACUGUCACGACCCAGGCUGCAGAGCACCAAUAACCAUACACAGAGGCCAGAAUCUAUCUAAUAUCUUUAUUGAGGAAAUAUAUAACGUUAAUAAAAGCAAGUGUAGGAAAUAGUUCAGAAGUAGAUCUUUCAGGAAAGGUCAAAAUUAGUCCAGAGAAACAAUGUCCAAUAUGAGAUAUUAAGGUCCAAAGUUGUAAUCCAAUAACCGAAACACUCACUUUGCCAAGCAAAGUGAGGGGAGAAGACAAGGUCCUUUAGUCCAUGAAACUUAGGCAAGGCAAGGAAAUAACUUGAUUAUUGGAUACAAGGCUUAAUUCAAGGCAACAAAGAACAAGGAGCAAAAACAGGAUCCGUGGUAAAUUCGUGGCGAGGUCAAGGAAGGCAAGGCUGGGUCCGCGAAGCAAAACAAGGUCCUGGGAAGCAAGCAAGGCUGGAAACGGGAGCGUAGUCCACACACAACCUACUCCCGUAGUUGACGAAUUGACUCCGCAAGAUUCCUACGAGGGCAAAACACCUAAGUAGGGUCUCGGUUUCCCGCCAAGAGCAGAUUCUCUGGGGAACCAGAAGCGAAAGCCAUUCUCUGGGUCCAGAUGCAUGACUCCUUAAAGUUUCUCAUGGGAAACAGGCUAAUCAACCAUUUGUUUGGCCGCGAUUCUCAGGCUUCUGCGAUUAGCCUGUUGAGCUCCUCUCUGUUGUUGACAAUAAUCACAGCGAGAAAAAGGGGGAGAUUUUGGCUCAGGGCUUGUUUGGCAAACUUCUGGAAGGCAAACCUCCUGCAGGUGCAAGGGUUCCAGUUCUGGCUGAGAAAGUUCCAAUUCUGACUGAAACAGAGGAAAACCUAAGUUUUCCUCUUCAUCUGUCACAACAGCGCUAGGAACGGGACUACAUGGCCCAUGAGUCAUCACAUGUUCAGAAGUUUUUCCCCUGACGUUAAGUCCAGUCGUGUCCGACUCUGGGGAUUGGUGCUCAUCUCCAUUUCUAAGCCGAAGAGUCGGUGUUGUCCGUAGACUCCUCCAAGGUCAUGUGGGAUGACUGCAUGGAGCGGCAUUACCUUCCUGCCGG
rnacentral:lncRNA from 1 species